GUAGGGAAUCUUCCACAAUGGACGAAAGUCUGAUGGAGCAACGCCGCGUGAGUGAAGAAGGUCUUCGGAUCGUAAAACUCUGUUGUUAGAGAAGAACGUGCAUGAUAGUAACUGAUCAUGUAAUGACGGUAUCUAACCAGAAAGCCACGGCUAACUACGUGCCAGCAGCCGCGGUAAUACGUAGGUGGCAAGCGUUGUCCGGAUUUAUUGGGCGUAAAGGGAACGCAGGCGGUUUUUUAAGUCUGAUGUGAAAGCCUUCGGCUUAACCGAAGAAUAGCAUUGGAAACUGGAAGACUUGAGUGCAGAAGAGGAGAGUGGAAUUCCAUGUGUAGCGGUGAAAUGCGUAGAUAUAUGGAGGAACAUCAGUGGCGAAAGCGACUUCCUGGACCAAUACUGACGCUCAUGUGCGAAAGCGUGGGGAGCAAACAGGAUUAGAUACCCGGGUAGUCC
rnacentral:rRNA from 1 species